GGUUCGGGGCGUCGAGCCACCUGCUAGCCUCCUUUGCUGUUCUGAAUACUAGCUCGCUGUCGGUGAAUAUGUCCCUAAAAACAAAGUGUGUCUUCACCUUUGGUGUUAUAAAAACAUCAAAAGAGACGUAGUUAUUUUUCGUAGGGUUUUCGUCCCAUGGUGAUAUUCUGUAUUCUGCACGCGCGUCUAGUCUAUAUUGUUUUGGAAAUCCAAACAGUUGCUGAACCGUUUCCUUGUAUGCCUGUGCGUCAUCGGUGACCAGAAAAUCCUGUAUAUUCUCGGGUUUCCAGCUAUUACCAGGGAAGUGAUAUAACGUUUUGACUAGAUUCCCAUUCUUGUCGAAUGGAUCGUAUUCGUCCCCAUUGAAAACGAAUUGCACAUCGCCAUGCUCGUCGGCAGAGAACCUAAAGCCUUUAGAAACCAAAUCACGUAUGCUAUUCACCUUUGCCCCUGCCAUCGCCGCCGUUUGGUCGUGCUUAGAGACUUUUCGCGACAGUCGUUUAGAAACUGCCGCACAGCCUACAGACGUAAGACCAAAAACACCGGCCAAAGCACCCAACGGAACUCCAACGAUGAUACCCAAACCUGACAGAGAAGUUCCUAAACCACUAGACCCAAGAAUGACGGAUGCGAGUCCUAAGCCCACACUUACCUUUGAAAACACGCUCUGCGCUCGUUUAUACUUUUUCCUCACGUUCUCGUAAUGUUUAACUUCUUGUUCCAAACUUCCCAAAACAUCGUGGGUCUUUUGAAGUCUAAAGUUAUCACCACGUUGUGGUACAUUUGGGUAGAUUGAAUUGUAUUCUUCCAUAGUUUUAUUAUGGAGAGAGGCUAUUCUUUAAGUAAUUUCUAAGAUUAGACGUAUCGGGUAGAGGCCACGCUCUAUUGUAUUUCCGUCGCCGUCCUUUACACUAAAACGGAGACUACUCACGUAACCGACUGAUGUGGUACUGACCUGUAUCGGAUCGUGUGGAUUAAGGUAUAUCUUUCCUUCAUCAAGCUCUAUAGAUGUUAGGAUUUGUGAGGGCGCCCCUUGUUGGAGGGAGUCAGACGCGUUCACAAGAUCGCAGUGGAUAAAAAUAGCCUCGUGACCUAUCAUCUUUAUCUCGUGGCGAGUGUUUGCUUCCAGCUCCCUGGUCUUGAGUCCUAACAGGCAGGCGAGCGGCUCAUUCAACACGACGUUCCGAUGAACUUCGAGUGACGAGUCUCUAAUAGAGACUGACUUUUCACCAAGACGCAUACCCCCAUCUAUUUGACGUUUUAGCGUCUCGAUCGUAUACUGCCCCGCGGGGAUCCUAAGGAUAAUGUUCUCACCGUCGGAGACCGUUCCCUCGCUUGAGAGACUGUUACAACGAUUAUGAAACGCACAUCCUCGCAGCGCGAUAAACCGCGGCUUUUCAAUAGGUUGUUCUAAAUAGACAGUAAAGUCAGCAACUUUUCCUUCAA